AUAUUAUUCAUUGUUUGAAUUUAUUUUUACUUGUGGUAUUCCACUGACGACGUUGCGAGAGGAGAUUCCGCAUAUGCAACGGCACUUUAUCAAAACAAUAAUCGAUAUUCCUAUCACGUUGCAUCCAUCGCAUGACAUUCGCGCGCAACAAUGGAU